UACGGAGGAUCCAAGCGUUAUCCGGAUUUAUUGGGUUUAAAGGGUGCGUAGGCGGUUCUUUAAGUCAGGGGUGAAAGACGGUAGCUUAACUAUCGCAGUGCCUUUGAUACUGAAGAACUUGAAUACACUUGAGGUAGGCGGAAUGUGACAAGUAGCGGUGAAAUGCAUAGAUAUGUCACAGAACACCAAUUGCGAAGGCAGCUUACUAAAGUGUCAUUGACGCUGAGGC
rnacentral:rRNA from 1 species